CUCUCUCUCUCUCUCUAUUUUGUUUGAAAGUGAUCUCAUAUUAGAAAGUGGAAAUGGUGAAGAUUAUCGAAAGCAUGAAGAGAGGUUUUCAUAAUUUUGUGGAAAUUGUAUCUUGUGGCACCAAAGGUGUAAAGGAAAAUGAUGUAAAAACACCACAGCUCAAAGCAGAGAUUAAUUAUGCACCGAAUAAACCAUCCGCAGAUGUUAAUUCCAGUGCCCGUGGGAUUGAAUCGCAUUAGAAGAUGAUAUCCAUCAAGAAAAAAAAACACUAUUUUCCCCCUCGAUUGUUAAUUUCUUAGUUGUGCUAUAAUAUGUAUAUGUUUUAGCCAUAUUUGUUUCGUUUAUUCAAGUGUUUUUAUGUAAAAUUUCCGGAUUUGGAACUCAGUAGAAGUUUGUAAUAAAUGAGUUUGAUCUUUAAA